GGAAAGAUGGCAGAGCGGUUGAAUGCAUCGCACUCGAAAUGCGACAAUCAUCAAAUGAUGAUUCAGGAGUUCAAAUCUCCUUCUUUCCG
rnacentral:tRNA from 3 species